rnacentral:rRNA from 1 species
GACGAACGCUGGCGGCGUGCUUAACACAUGCAAGUCGAACGAAGUGGCGAACGGGUGAGUAACGCGUAAUCAACCUGCCCUUCAGAGGGGGACAACAGUUGGAAACGACUGCUAAUACCGCAUACUGAAGGGGGGGAUUGUGUCUGAUUAGCUAGUUGGAGGGGUAACGGCCCACCAAGGCGAGGAUCAGUAGCCGGUCUGAGAAGAUGGACCGCCACAAUUGGACUUGGACAAGGGCCAGACUCCUACGGGAGGCAGCAGUGGGGAAUCUUCCGAAAUGGACGAAAGGCUGACGGAGCAACUCCGCGGUAGUGAUGACGGGCUUCGGGUUGUAAAGCUCUGUUAAUCGGGACGCGGUACCGGAAUAGAAAGCCACGGCUAACUACGUGCCAGCAGCCGCGGUAAUUC